CAACCUCAACUCAUAUGGGACUACCCCCUGAAUUUAAGCAUAUUAAUUAGGGGAGGAAAAGAAACUAACAAGGAUUUUCUUAGUAGCGGCGAGGGAAAAGAAAUCAGUUCAGCACUAAGUCACUUUGUCUAUAUAGCAAAUGUGAGAUUCACGGUACGGAACAUCAACAUUCUAGUAUGCGAAGUUAACGAUUUAAGUCCUUCUUAAAUGAGGCCAUUUACCCAAAGAGGGUACCAGGCCCGUAUAACGUUAAUGAUUACUAGAUGGUGUUUCCCAAGAGUCGUGUUGCCUGAUAGUGCAGCACUAAGUGGGUGGUAAACUCCAUCUAAAACUAAAAUAACCAUGAGAACGAAAAUAAACAAUUACCGUGAAGGAAAGUUGAAAGAACUCUUAAUUAAAAGUUUAAUAAUACGUGAAACUGGUUAUAAGUUAAACCCCAAGAAACCUAAAAUUCCCUUUUUGAAAAUUUUAUCUUUAAAAUUUUAAAAUUUUUAAAAAAAAUUAUAAAUAAAAAGGGGGUCUUUUUUUUCCCUUAAGGAAAUUUUUUAAAUUCUUUUAAACCAAAACAUUUUUUUCAAAAAAAAA
rnacentral:ncRNA from 1 species